AACGAACGCUGGCGGCAGGCUUAACACAUGCAAGUCGAACGCCCCGCAAGGGGAGUGGCAGACGGGUGAGUAACGCGUGGGAACAUACCCUUUCCUGCGGAAUAGCUCUGGGAAACUGGAAUUAAUACCGCAUACGACCUACGGGGCAAAGAUUUAUCGGGGAAGGAUUGGCCCGCGUUUGAUUAGCUAGUUGGUGGGGUAAAGGACUACCAAGGCGACGAUCCAUAGCUGGUCUGAGAGGAUGAUCAGCCACAUUGGGACUGAGACACGGCCCAAACUCCUACGGGAGGCAGCAGUGGGGAAUAUUGGACAAUGGGCGCAAGCCUGAUCCAGCCAUGCCGCGUGAGUGAUGAAGGCCUUAGGGUUGUAAAGCUCUUUCACCGAUGAAGAUAAUGACGGUAGUCGGAGAAGAAGCCCCGGCUAACUUCGUGCCAGCCGCCGCGGUAACAC
rnacentral:rRNA from 1 species